rnacentral:rRNA from 1 species
UACGUAGGUGGCAAGCGUUGUCCGGAUUUACUGGGCGUAAAGCGCGCGCAGGCGGCUUGUUAAGUCUGCUGUGAAAUCUCCCGGCUUAACUGGGAGCAGCCAGCGGAUACUGGCAAGCUUGAGGCAAGCAGAGGAAGGUGGAAUUCCCGGUGUAGUGGUGAAAUGCGUAGAUAUCGGGAGGAACACCAGUGGCGAAGGCGGCCUUCUGGGCUUGUCCUGACGCUGAGGCGCGAAAGCGUGGGGAGCGAACCGGAUUAGAACCUCC